rnacentral:rRNA from 1 species
GACGAACGCUGGCGGCGUGCUUAACACAUGCAAGUCGAACGGUAAGGCCCUUCGGGGUACACGAGUGGCGAACGGGUGAGUAACACGUGGGCGAUCUGCCCUGCACUUCGGGAUAAGCCUGGGAAACUGGGUCUAAUACCGGAUAGGACCACUGCCUGCAUGGGUGGUGGUGGAAAGCUUUUGCGGGGUGGGGAAUGGGCCCGCGGCCUAUCAGCUUGUUGGUGGGGUGAUGGCCUACCAAGGCGACGACGGGUAGCCGGCCUGAGAGGGUAGACGGCCAAGCUGGGACUGGGCUGAGGCCCAGACUCCUACGGGAGGGAGCAGUGGGGAAGAGUGCACUAGGGGCUCAAGCCGGAUGCAGCGACGCCGCGUGGGGGGUGACGGGCUUCGGGUGGUAAACCUCUUUCAGCACCGACGAAGCGCAAGUGACGGUAGGUGCAGAAGAAGGACCGGCCAACUACGUGCCAGCCGCCGCCGUAA